ACGAAGUCUGACGGAGCAACGCCGCGUGAGUGAUGAAGGUUUUCGGAUCGUAAAGCUCUGUUGUUAGGGAAGAACAAGUGCAAGAGUAACUGCUUGCACCUUGACGGUACCUAACCAGAAAGCCACGGCUAACUACGUGCCAGCAGCCGCGGUAAUACGUAGGUGGCAAGCGUUGUCCGGAAUUAUUGGGCGUAAAGGGCUCGCAGGCGGUUUCUUAAGUCUGAUGUGAAAGCCCCCGGCUCAACCGGGGAGGGUCAUUGGAAACUGGGAAACUUGAGUGCAGAAGAGGAGAGUGGAAUUCCACGUGUAGCGGUGAAAUGCGUAGAGAUGUGGAGGAACACCAGUGGCGAAGGCGACUCUCUGGUCUGUAACUGACGCUGAGGAGCGAAAGCGUGGGGAGCGAACAGGAUUAGAUACCCUGGUAGUCCACGCCGUAAACGAUGAGUGCUAAGUGUUAGGGGGUUUCCGCCCCUUAGUGCUGCAGCUAACGCAUUAAGCACUCCGCCUGGGGAGUACGGUCGCAAGACUGAAACUCAAAGGAAUUGACGGGGGCCCGCACAAGCGGUGGAGCAUGUGGUUUAAUUCGAAGCAACGCGAAGAACCUUACCAGGUCUUGACAUCCUCUGACAACCCUAGAGAUAGGGCUUUCCCUUCGGGGACAGAGUGACAGGUGGUGCAUGGUUGUCGUCAGCUCGUGUCGUGAGAUGUUGGGUUAAGUCCCGCAACGAGCGCAACCCUUGAUCUUAGUUGCCAGCAUUUAGUUGGGCACUCUAAGGUGACUGCCGGUGACAAACCGGAGG
rnacentral:rRNA from 1 species